rnacentral:rRNA from 1 species
UACAGAGGGGGCAAGCGUUGUUCGGAAUUACUGGGCGUAAAGGGCGCGUAGGCGGCCUUCUAAGUCAUGCGUGAAAUCCCCGGGCUCAACCCGGGAACUGCGUCCGAUACUGACAGGCUUGAAUCCGGGAGAGGGAUGCGGAAUUCCAGGUGUAGCGGUGAAAUGCGUAGAUAUCUGGAGGAACACCGGUGGCGAAGGCGGCAUCCUGGACCGGCAUUGACGCUGAGGCGCGAAAGCUAGGGGAGCAAACGGG